rnacentral:rRNA from 1 species
UACGUAGGGUGCGAGCGUUGUCCGGAUUCAUUGGGCGUAAAGAGCUCGUAGGCGGCUUAGCAAGUCGGGUGUGAAAACUCCAGGCUCAACCUGGAGACGCCACCCGAUACUGCUAUGGCUAGAGUCCGGUAGGGGACCACGGAAUUCCUGGUGUAGCGGUGAAAUGCGCAGAUAUCAGGAGGAACACCGGUGGCGAAGGCGGUGGUCUGGGCCGGAACUGACGCUGAGGAGCGAAAGCGUGGGGAGCGAACAGG